GCACUGAGCAAGGAGAGAGGGCAGCUAACGCUGAAAUCCCAAACUCCCCAAAAAGCUAAAAGGAAGGGUUUUUAUUUAGGGUUUUAGGUAGGGGAGGGGGAGCAUAUGGCCUUGCUGGUCAGACCUUUCCCACCAGCCUGUGUUUGGCCUUGAGACGACUUGCAGAGAGGAGGGAGCCCGUGACCUUGCUGGUCAGCAGCUUUCCCACCAGCCUGUAUCUCCUCGCAGGGAGGAGAUAGUGAAUCCAGUUCUGUCAGUUUUUGUCUCACACAUUUUGCUGCUAUGCUGUUGGGUCUGAGUUUCUGCCCUGCAUCAUUUUCUUUGUCACAGAGGAACAUCUUUUAACAUUCUCGCAAGGAGAACACAGACCGUGCUCCAACAAGUGUCUGACAACAAUUUGAAGCUUGAUGUUGAGCCCUUCAAAACCACACAGUCUUAGCCCGUCUGUCCCAAGUGUGAGGUUGGAGGGUGGAAGACAGUGGUGACUGGGGGCAUGAGCCUGGAUGAGAUGACUCACAAGGCCUCUUGCAGCCUGAAGAUUUGAGGAUUCUGUGCUGAUGUACCUGUGACAGCCAUCAGAAACCAACAGCAUCUUCUCUAGAAUUUGAGUUUGGAUAUUGGAGCCCCAGAUUUUGACAUGGGGCUGCCUAUUUUAGGGAUCACUAUCCCUUUUGCCUCCAUAAAGACAUUUAAGAUGGUAGUUUGGGCUGCCAGUUUCUAGAAUCUCUCUGAUGAGAGGUAUCUUGGAUCACCUCCCGAGGCUCCCUUGGCUAGGCAAUGUUAGGAAAAUAGUUCUGCAGCAGCAGAGACACCCCCUCCCCAAAGGGUCUGCUCUGCUCGCUCUGUUCCCAGGGCAUAUGGGCACACCUGCCAGCCAGCUCUGGCCCCCUGGAGUAGGCACGUCCCCUGAUGUGGGAGUCAAUGGUCACAGACCCUUUGAUGGUGCACUUUUCUAUACUUGUAUAUUCUCUUCCUUUUUUUCUUCUCCCUCCUUCUCCCCUCUCAAUGUAUCUAAACACCUGAAGAAGAAACUGCUGGUUGCUUACUCCAACAUCUGUUCUUCUCUUCCUCAACAACAAAGACUUGAAUUUGUUUUUUUUUUAAUAUAUUCUUUUUUUUUUUGAGGAAGAUUAGCCCUGAGCUGACAUCUGCUGCCAAUCCUCCUCUUUUUGCUGAGGAAGGCUGGCCCUGAGCUAACAUCCGUGCCCAUCUUCCUCUCCUUUAUAUGUGGGACGCCUACCACAGCAUGGCUUGCCAAGCGGUGCCAUAUCCGCACCCAGGAUCCGAACCGGUGAACCCCAGGCUGCCAAAGUGGAACGUGCGAACUUAACCGCUGAGCCACCGGGCCGGCCCCUUGAAUUUGUUUGAGGAUGGCAAUGUACCCAGUUUAAGAAAGUCUCCAUUAGAAGGAGUGGCCAGACGAAGUUAUGGCCAAUAAGUUGUAAGCAGAAGGGUUGUGCAGUAUUUCUGGGAAGCUUCCUCAAAAGGAAGGAGUAAUUUUUCUUCCCUUUCUUCCUUUUUGCUAUCUGGAUUGUGGAUACAAUGACUGGCACUUAAGCAGCCAUUAAGGACACUGAGGCAACAUGCUAAAUAUGGUGAAGUAGCAGCUUGGAAGAAAUUGGGGUCUCUGGUGACUUUAUAGAGUCACCCUAGCAACCCUGGCCUGCCUGCCCUCAGACUUCUCUUAUGGGAGAGAUAAAUAAGCUUCUGUCUUUUGAAAGCAACUGUUAUUGCAACCAGAGCUAAUCCUAACUAAUACAAUAUUCCCUCUCUAAACUCAGACUGUAGCUUGACAAGUAGCUCCAGAUAAUAGGGUGGAGUUUUAUGGGUUAAAAUAUGGAUAUGGAGAAGAGCGAAAAUUUAGAAUAUCUUAAGGGAUAACAGUGGGGAUUUCCCUAGGCAAGAGGCACAAGAAUAGCACUAGGCUGUACGCAGUUUCCCUUCACAGUAAGGCCCAUUUGGACCCCAUUGCAUCUCUCAGAUUUGCCACUAUAUCCCCAGUGCCUACCCCAGUGCCUGACACAUAGAACCGGCUCAAUUAAAAAUUGUUGAAAGAGUAAACAGUUUGUUGCUUUUGUAAGUGCUCUGACCAACAGGCCAAUUCACUUCGGAAAGCUCCCCCCUCAUCCCCAUGCGAAAUCUCUUCUACAACCCACCAUCACCUGUCACCACCUCUGAAACUUGCAUACAUUUAUUAACUGGUCAGCAGGCAUCAGGUACUGUGUUCAGCUUGGAGGAUGAAGUGCUGAGCAAAACAGGUAUGGAUCCUGCCCUCUGGGAGCUUCCAGUGCAGUAAGACAGAAACACCCAGAAAUAUGUGAACUAGUCAUUACAGUCUGGGAUCAGUGCAAUGAAGGAAAUAAUCAUGGAGGAAAAAUAAUAAUAAAAUAAUAAUAAUGGAGGAAACUUGUUUUUUUUAGGAAGAUUAGCUCUGAGCUAACAUCUGCUGCCAAUGCUCUUUUUUGCUGAGGAAGACUGACUCUGAGCCAAAUCUGUGCCCAUCUUCCUCUGUUUUAUAUGUAGCACGCCUGCCACAGCAUGGCUUGACAAGUGGUGUGUAGGUCCGCCCCAGGGAUCCGAACUGGAUCUGAACCCCAGACCGUCGAAGCUGAGCAUGUGAACUUAACCGCUAUGCCACCAGGCCAGCCCCCGGAGGGGACAUUUUUUUAGAGUUAUGGGCAAUAUCCUCUCAGAGAGUGAGAAGCUGAAGGAUAAGAGCAAACAGCCGUGCAAAGGGUGGGGUGGCAGUGCUGGUGGAAGCAUUCCGGGCCCAGGGAACCACGUGCACAAAGGCUCUGAGGCGUGUUUAAGGAAUGAAAGCAGCCCAGUGGGGCUGGAGCUUGGGAAGAGCUGGGGAGUGACUGGUGAAAAGGCUGCAGGGGUCAGCAGAAGCCAGGCCACACAGGCACUUGUAGGCCGCAGGAAGGAGUUUGGACUUUAUUCUAAGUGCAAUGAUAAGCUAUUGAUAAGCUUAAAGCAAGGGACUGCCAGUAUCUGGUUUUGCAUUAAGAAAGUCUCUCUGGCUGCUGUGUGGAAUUGGACAAGGUCCAGUGUGCAAGCAGGGAGACAAAUAUGCGAGGUUUUUGCCUCCAUGUGACAGAUGAGGGUGACUUAGACCAGGUAGUGGCAAUGGGGCGGGGGAGCAGUAGAGGGAUUCAGAGUGUGCUUUGGGGGUCAAGUGAUGGAAACAUGACGUGACACUGGGUGAUGGACUGAAGGUGGGAGCUGAGAGGGAGAGGGGAAUCGGGGGUUCUGAUUUGAGCAGCUGUGUAGAUGGUGGUGCCUUACGUGGAGAUGGGGUACACUGGAGGAGGUGGGGUACACUGGAGGAGGUUGGAGUUAAGACUUUGAUUUUGGUCACAUAGAUAUUGACGUACUUGUGAAACAUACCAGUGGAGCUGUUGAGAAGACAUUUGAAUAUUUGAGUCUGAAGCUCAGGAGUAUGCUUAGGAUGGGAGAUACAAAUUUGGGACUCAUUAGUGUGGUGAUGCUACUUAAGACCUUGGGAAUAGAUGCAGCUGACCCGAGAGAGUGUGUGUAGAGAGGGCAGAGCUGAGCCCCGAGACGCUCCAGCAGUUAGAGGAGGAGAAACCUGCAAAGGUGACUGAGAAGGGGCCAUAGGAUUAUUUGUAUACUGCCUGUCAUCCCCAACAGAAUGGUCUAGAGUUUGAGGAGGCUGAUAAAUAGCACCUCUUUUCUUCUGCCUGAAAUCAGAAGCAAUCAAGAGAGACACACAUCAGUCAGACAGGAGAUAAGAAUAUCACCUUUAUUAAUCAUAGAACUGCUUAGAGAAAGAGAAGUAGAGUUGUCUCUGAACAGGCCUGGUAAUAUGAGCAGCCUGUCUCACCUGCUUUCUCCACAUGGAAACAUGACAGGAGCUCUAGGAGCACAGAGGCCCUGUCUGACCUGGUCUGUGCCUAGCACAGUGCCUGGCACACAGUAGGUGCCAAUGUUUGUUGAAUGAUUGGAUCCAGAUGUCAAGAUUGAAACAAUCCUCACAGAUGAUCCAGGAAUCGCCUGAAGAGCUUAAACAUUCCAAUGCCCAGGUUACAAUCCCAGACCAAUUUUCUCAACAUUUAUGGGGACAGGGUUCAGGCCUCAGUACUGCAUUAAACUCUUGCCAGGUGAUUCCAAUGUGCAGCCAAGGUUAAGAACUGUUGCUCUGGUCUAUUUCCUCAUUUACAGUUGGGGACAUGAGGCCUAGAGCAAGAGGGUCAUCUCUAGCACUAGAGGGCUCGACCUGGCCCUGCUGCUGACUUUGAGUGGCUGGGAUAAACCUAUUUCUCUCUCUGGGCUUCAGUGUCCUUCUCCGGAAAGUGAAGAGGGUUGGGGCAGUUGAUCUCUAGAGCCCCAUCCAGCCCUAAUGGCAUAUUACUCUAUUCUCUGACCCUAGAUGUGAAUUAACUCACUGGGGCAUCACUUGUGCCUCAGAUGUCUCUGCACAGUGGUUAGGUUAGUUUUGCACUUGAAAUGAGUAGAUUAUGGAUUGCAAUGGACAGCAAAGAGGAGAUGCUUGGGACAGUACAGGACCUACCUUUCUCUAAAGAGUGGAGAAUUUGUCUUGUUUUUUCCUAG
ensembl:lncRNA